UCGAACGCUGAAGCCUGGUGCUUGCACCGGGUGGAUGAGUGGCGAACGGGUGAGUAACACGUGAGUAACCUGCCCCUGACUUCGGGAUAAGCCCGGGAAACUGGGUCUAAUACCGGAUACGACUGCCGGACGCAUGUCUGGUGGUGGAAAGUUUUUUCGGUUGGGGAUGGGCUCGCGGCCUAUCAGUUUGUUGGUGAGGUAAUGGCUCACCAAGACGACGACGGGUAGCCGGCCUGAGAGGGCGACCGGCCACACUGGGACUGAGACACGGCCCACACUCCUACGGGAGGCAGCAGUGGGGAAUAUUGCACAAUGGGGGAAACCCUGAUGCGGCGACGCAGCGUGCGGGAUGACGGCCUUCGG
rnacentral:rRNA from 1 species